rnacentral:misc_RNA from 1 species
ACAUAUAGCAGCAAGUUCAACUAAUGGAUGUUCAGUGAUAGCCAUGUCAGGAGGCAAAGAUGUCACUGUUGGGUGGUCACCCACUACCUUCUUAAGUUGUGAAGCAUGAAAAAUAGGGUGGAUUCUAGAAGAGGAAGGUAAAUCCAGCUUGUAGGCCACUGUACCAAUUUUUUCAAAAUUACAAAUGGGCCAUAGUAUUAAGUAGCCGAUUUUUUAUUGACACGAUGAGCCAUUGAACCUUGGCGUUGAGGCCGAAG